rnacentral:snRNA from 11 species
AAACAGCAAAAGGGGAGACACCAUGAUCACGUAGGUAGUUUUCCCAGGGUGAGGCCCACCCAUUGCACUUGGGGUGUGCUGACUCAACUGCAUAACUUAUGGUAGUGGGGAACUGUGUUCAUGCUCACCCCUG